UACGGAGGGUGCGAGCGUUGUCCGGAAUCACUGGGCGUAAAGGGCGCGUAGGCGGCCUGAUAAGUAGGGGGUGAAAUCCUGCGGCUUAACCGCAGGGCUGCCUUCUAAACUGUCAGGCUGGAGCACAGUAGAGGCAGGUGGAAUUCCCGGUGUAGCGGUGGAAUGCGUAGAGAUCGGGAGGAAUACCGAUGGCGAAGGCAGGUCUCUGGGCUGACACUGACGCUCAUGCACGAAAGCGUGGGGAGCAAACAGG
rnacentral:rRNA from 1 species